rnacentral:rRNA from 1 species
AGGAUGAACGCUGGCGGCGUGCCUAACACAUGCAAGUCGAACGUCCUGUCUCGCAAGAGGCAGGGAGUGGCGGACGGGUGAGUACCACGUGGGUCAUCUACCGUGAGGUGAGGAAUACCGGCGAGAAAUCGCCGACAAGACCGCAUAGGCUCGAUGCAAGUCGAGCAAAGCUCUUUCGAGAGAGGGAGCGCCACACGAGGAGCCUGCGCCCGAUUAGCUAGCUGGUGGAGUAACGGUUCACCAGGGCGACGAUCGGUAGCUGGUCUGAGAGGACGAUCAGCCACACUGGGAUUGAGAACGGCCCAGACUCCUACGGGGGGCAGCAGUGAGGAAUUUUCGGCAAUGGACGAAAGUCUGACCGAGCGACGCCGCGUGGAGGAUGACGCCUUUCGGGGUGUAAACUCCUUUUCUGCGGGAAGAUAAUGACGGUACCGCAGGAAUAAGCACCGGCUAACUACGUGCCAGCAGCCGC